CAGGGCAGCCCAAAAUGAUGGAGGCCGGGUGAGCAAGCGGCUGAGGUGCUGCAGGGAGCCUCGGAGGGGCGAAGCGGCGUGUCAAUGAGCGGUCCCAGAAGGAGCCGUGUGGCCACUGUUGGAACUGGAUACGCAUUUGAGGCGCCACAGGCGAUGACAGCCACGGUGUCUGUCUCUGGAAGGAGCAGCUGAUGAAGAGGAACCAAGUGACUGCAGGGCCGUCCUGGUUUGCCAAUGCGCGGCACGCAGGUUUUCUGCUGUGGAUGGUUCCAGAUGCCCGGCCCUCUGAAAGCUAAGGCACAAGCUUUAGCGUGGCAACAUGUAAAUGGCAGAGGGGGCAAGGACAAGUGGCUGAGGUGCCGCAGGGAGCCUCGGAGGGGCAAAGCCAUAUGCCGAUGAGCGGUCCGAGAAGGUGCUGUGUGGCCACGUUUGGAACUGGAUGCCCGUUUGAGUAUUUUAAUUGUCGGUGAUGAAGAGGAACCAGUCAGCAUCUUCUGUUGCAGAUGGUUCUAGAUCCUUGGCCCUCCUAAAGCUAAGUUGAGGGACUGCAGCUGGGGAGGGAGUGGGAUGAGGUUGGGAGUUGCAGGGGAGGGGUUUUAAAGUUUAGUGUAGGGGAGAGGGCUGACCAGGAGCUGUCCCCUUUGGGCAGGCAAAGGGAGCAGGUUACUUGUCAGCACUGUGCUAGACUGUGCUGGGCAGGGCAGUUCCAGCCUGUGUCUGUGGCAUGUUUGUUGUGUGUCUUGUCUUCUGUGUCUUAGCCCUUCCUCUGGUCUCAAUGCCCUAUUUGUGAUCAAGGGGCAUGGCAUGCUUCUCAGGUGCCAUCGCUAGGAUCUCAAAUGCCCAUACUCAUCGGCAUAGUGCCAAUUGGGUGCUUCUUUGAUUGCAUAGCCAGCCUUACAGCCUGGAUGGAUCUUGUGUCUCAGAAGUUUUUGGUGGGUCUUCUUUUUGCAGCCUCUUUGCAUGCUGCGUCAGGAGAGCUGACAUUUACAGCCAUCCAUUUUAACAGAAUGGGGCUUCCUCCCUGCAUCCUUACAUUCUUAGGUCUUGAACACAGGCUUCUUGCCACCUCUGUCCUGUUGUUUUUGACGGUAACUUCUUAUAAUGGGCCAUUACAGUCCAUCCUUUUCUGGCAUUGCUAUAGGGCUUGCUGGCCUGGGUGUUGUACUCUGUAGGUAGUCUUGCUCGGCAGUGUCUCUGGUCAGGCAGUCCUUCUUGCUGAGAGUUUUCUCUCCUCAUCCUUGAGUCACAUUCUUUAUAGCGUUGGUCUUCGCAUGCGUUGUGGUGGGUUGACCCUGGCUGGGGGCCAGGUGCCCACCAGAGCUGCUCUCUCACUUCCCUCAUUCACCAAACAGGGGAGAAAAGGCAUAACGAAAUGCUUGUAGGUUGAGAUAAGGACAGGGAGAGAUCACUCACUAAUUAUCAUCAUGAGCAAAACAGACCAAACUUAGAGAGGGAAUUCAUCUAAUUUAUUACUAGGCAAAACAGAGUAGAGGAAUGAGAAAAUAAAAUCAACUCUUAAAACACUUCCCCCCACCCCUCCCAUCUUCCCGGGCUCAACUUCACUCCCGGCUUCAACCUUCCCCCCCUCAGUGGCACAGGGGGACGGGGAAUGGGGGUUACGGUCAGUUCAUCUCAUGGUGUUUCUGCCGCUUCUUCAUCCUCAGGGGGAGGACUCCUCUCAUCGUUCCCCUGCUCCAGCAUGGAGUCCCUCUCAUGGGGUGCAGACCUUCAGGAGCAAACUGCUCCAGCGUGGGGUCCCAAGUCCUGCCAGCAAACCUGCCCUGGCGUGGGCUCCCCUCUUCACGGGUCCACCGGUCCGGCCUGGAACUUGCUCCAGCGUGGGCUUCCCACGGGCCGCAGCUUCCUUCAGGUGUCUCCACCUGCUCCGGUGUGGGGUCCUCCACGGGCUGCAGGUGGAAUCGCUACACCCCCUCAUCCUUCCUCCAUGGGCUGCAGGGGGACAGCCUGCUUCACCAUGGUCUUCACCACGGGCUGCAGGGGGAUCUCUGCUCCGGCACCUGGAGCUCCUCCUCCCCCUCCAUCUGCACUGACCUUGGUGUCUGCAGAGUUUCUUACAUCUUCUCACUCCUCUCUCCGGCUGCAAAAGCUCUCUCUCUCUAAGUGUUUUUCUUCUUAAAUAUGUUAUCACAGAGGCACUGAUUGGCUUGGCCUUGGCCAGCGGCGGGCCUGUCUUAGAGCUGGCUGGCAUUGGCUCUGUCAGACACGGGGAGCUUCUAGCAGCUUCUCACAGAAGCCACCCCUGUAGCCCCCCCGCUACCACAACCUUGCCAUGCCAACCCAACACAUGCGUGCAUUUUGUCGUGGAGCUGCUCUGCCCUGGGUUGUUGAGUCAGGGUUAGGUGGAAUAGCCAUAAGAGUGUAGGGUUAGUAUGUUGAUAUGCCCAGACUGCUUGGGCAAAGGUUGUGUAGUUGCCUCAGAUGGAGUAGCUGUUGCCAGGCUGUGUUGGAGAGUCAUUUCCAUAGUGGUCUGUGGACAUGAUGGGAGCUGCCUGGGAGGGGCUAUUCAGGGGUGAUAAAAGCAGAUUGACUCUCAAAGGGGUGAAAGGCCUGUCUGUGUGGGGCUGAAAGUUUGGGGUUUUUUUCUUCUAAUUGCAGUGUGUAGUUGGACUGUAGAUGCCAUUUGAAAUUGUUCAGCUAUUGCUCUGCAUCCUGGUGCGUUCUUGUUAUGGUUUAGCCCCAGCUGGUAGCUGAGCACCAUGUGAUUUUUUUUU